CAAAUCUGCUCUAUGCAAAACCUGUAGAAUAGAAAUCUGAGGCUUAUCUCUGUCACUCAGCAAAGGAGUGCCUGAUUGGUCUCAGGAAACGACAGUGAUCUGAACUCACACAGCAUGGAAUGGGUGUGGAGGCUCCUCUUCCUGUUGGCAGCUGCACAAAGUGUACAAUCACAGGUCCAGCUCGUGCAGUCAGGAGCUGAGCUGAAGCAGCCUGGGCAGUCAGUGAAGAUCUCAUGCAAAGCGUCAGGGUAUACGUUCACAAGCUAUGCAAUGAACUGGAUGAAGCAGGCACCAGGUCAGGGCCUAAAGUGGAUGGGCUGGAUCAAUACCAACACUGGGAAUCCAACCUAUGCUAAUGACUUCAAAGAACGGUUUGUGUUCUCUUUGGACACCUCCAUCAACACUGCAUAUGUGCAGAUCAGCAGUCUCAAGAAUGAAGACAUUGCCACAUAUUACUGUGCGAGAGACACAGUGUGA